rnacentral:rRNA from 1 species
UACGGAGGGGGCGAGCGUUAUUCGGAAUUAUUGGGCGUAAAGGGCGCGUAGGCGGCUGAACAAGUCAAAGGUGAAAUCCCUCGGCUCAACUGAGGAACUGCCUUUGAAACUGUUCGGCUUGAGGCCGGGAGGGGGUAGCGGAAUUCCCAGUGUAGCGGUGAAAUGCGUAGACAUUGGGAGGAACACCAGUGGCGAAGGCGGCUUUUUGGUCUGUAACUGACGCUGAGGCGCGAAAGCGUGGGGAGCAAACAGG